rnacentral:lncRNA from 1 species
AAAUGAAAGAACUCUGUUGGGAGUAUAAUCUAAGGUCCCUCUCCAUUGUAACCGCGGUAAUCCUAUCAUAGCCAGCGUCACGGUCUUGGCGUGACAAUCAAGAAUAGCAUAUGGGGAGACAAAAAGUACAUGCCUAAUAUAAUAUCAAAAUCUACCACACUAAACAAUAAUAAAUUGGCUCUGGUCUCAAAGCCACUAAUAACAACCAAACACAACUGAUAUACAUGAUGAACAAUAUUAGAAUCUCCCACAGGUGUAGGCACAUAAAUAGGAGAACUCAUAAAAAAUCAUGGGAUAUGACUAGAUACGCAGCAAAAUAAGAUGACACAUUAGAAUAAAUGGAGCCUGAAUCAAAUAAAAUUGACACAUCUCUAUGAUAGACAAGAACAAUACCGGUAAUGAUAGAGUCGAAAGCAACUACCUCUAUAUGAGCAGAAAGAGCAUACUAUCUGGCAUGGCCUCCCCAGCUAGGUUGAGCUCUACCCCCCUGAGUUCCACUUUGAGAUGGCUAAGCAGGUGGAGUGGUAGAUGGUGCUGUGAUCAUAGCCUGAGGAUCCGAUGGAGCACGCGAUGCUCGAGAAGUAUUUGGAGGUGCACCGAUCCUAAUUUGGGGAAAUCCCUCACCAUAUGGAUAGUGUUGCCACACUCAAAACAACUCUCAAAGGGCGUGGCUACUAUGGCUGAGUCGGGCCUGAUUUAAUGGACGGAUCGCUAAAAGCACCCCGUGAAAGAGGCAUACUAGAUACUGGCGGAGCAUAAUAAAGCUACUGAGGCCUAGGAGUAACCGGAAUACCACGGCAGCUAGAAGAGAAAAAUGAACUGUAGUUGGGGUACGAGUACUAGUCUACAUUCCAGACUCUCGAGACCUCUUGGCGUCUCUCUCCUCUUUUUUCCGAGUAAGCAUGCACUCCACUCUCCUAGCUAUACUCACAACCUGCUAGUAUGAAAUAUCCACCUCCAACUCCCGGACCAUGCUAGUCUUGAUGCUGGGAUGGAGCCCCUCGAUAAAUUGAAGGACCCUCUCUUGAACAGCAGCAACAAAGGCCAAUGAAUGUCUAGCCAAAUCACUGAAACGAACUGCAUACUCUGACAUAGUCAUAGAAUCCUUGCGCAACUGCUCAAACUCGGCAUGCCAUGCAUCUUUGAGGCUCUAGGGAACAUAUUGCCUCAAAAAUAUAUCCGAGAAAUUAGUCCAUAUAAGUAAAGUUGCCUCAGCUAUACUGUCCAAAUCAUAAGCAUGCCUCCACUGCUAGGUUGCUCCAAUGUAGUGAAAUAAACCACACUCGACUCGGCUAUGCCCAUAGUAGAAAGGUUACAGUGGCACUCCUCAAGAAAUCCCUAAGCAUCCUCUGUUGUCAAACCACUGCAAGAAGGAGGGUGGUACUUUUUAUACCUCUCGAGCCUAUGCUGCUCCUCCUUAGAAGCAUCUGCCCUAACCUCGAGAUAAACUGGGGCUAGAGGUGGCACAGAUAUAGCCUCUGGAAACUGAUCGAUCUGAACCUGCUGCUCUGGGGUACGAGCGGUAAGAGUUUAUGCUCCUCCCCCGGCCUGAGAUGUGGUAGGAACAAGGGGAAUCAACCCUGAUUUAGCUGGAGUACAGAACAUGUUAAUGAACUGUGCAAGCGUUUCCUAAAUGGAUAGUGCAGUAGUAGGCAUCUCAGGUGCUUGCGCUCCGGCUAGAGCUACUGGUGGCUCCUUUGUGGCAGAUCAUGCAGGUGCUCUAGCUGCACCAUGUGGACGUCCUACCCUGACCCCAGCCUUUGGCGGCUCUAGUAGGGGGAGUGAGUGCGUGGUCAUCUAAUCUGGAUGAAUGUGUCCUCACUAUCGGUAAGAGAAUAGACGACAAAUUUUUAGAAUUUCGAAGCCAAAACUUUUACACGACAAGGAAUCAAAAGACAAGUACAGCUUUAUAUUCUCCCUAAGAUAAGUACAGACGUAUCUGCACCGAUCUGCAAGAUUUUUCUAAACCUGCUUUUGAUUCACGACACUUAUGAACCUAGAGCUCUGAUGCGAACUUAUCUCGAUUCAAAUUCUCCCUCCAUGAGAUGUUGUGACGGCACCUAGUCUCUACGACUAGGUAACCCUAACAUUUCGAAAUAAUGAAAAUGAAAGGAUAAAUUUAACAGCUAACUACGACAAAUAAUUUAGCAACUGAUAUAAGUGUCGCUCGGCAUGUAGAAUAACCACCGUCAAAUAUACAUAGAGAAUCUCCCCAAAACCUAGAACAUCAUAAGUCAUAAGCUUUUACAAAUUUUCCUAACUGUUUUUAUACAUCAGUAAUUAGAAGAAGUAAAGAAAAAACAACAUAAAAAAGGAUCGAGGGGGACUCCGAGGUCUGUGGACGCGGGCAGAUGUACCUUGAAUUCUUCAAAGCAGCAAUGAGUAUGCAACUAAAAGCAAGGAUAGCAGGAGGUACCUAGAUCUUCACACAAAAAUAUGUGCAGAAAAGUAGCAUGAUUACACCACAACGGUACCCAGUAAGUGCCAGAAUUCUAUUGUUAUGUAUACAUAAAAAAUAUUUUAAAAAAGGAAAAAUGAAAGAAUAAUAGCAGGGGAUCUCCCAAGAUACUGUCUCGUAGCCCUAAAAGUAUAUGUGUAGGUGGAUUUACUGGAAUAACAUUCAAUAGUCCCAAAGUAAAUACGCAAGGGGAUCUCCUGGGAUAUUCUCCUGUAGUCCCAAAGUAAAAAUACAGAGGGAUCUCCCGAAAUAUCGUUCUAUAGGCCCAAAGUAAUUAUGCAUCUCAAACAAUGGAAUCAACAGUUACAACAUGAAAUCCUACAAUUUAGACUAAGUAGAAGUCAAGGAAGAAGCAGGAAAUCCACUAAGCACGCUGCACAAAAUUCAGAGAAGAAUUUUAGAUGCAUAGACAUACUAUUUUAGGCUAAACAAUAUAUCACACAUGCUAGUAUAACUCAAUUAAGAUAAACAAGUUACUACUUAAUGAAAAUCAGAGGUUUACAACAAAUAGCCCGUGUAUGCACUGGUCACUUCACGUACACAACGCUCACAUAUCACAACAGUACUAAAUCCUAAGGGGAGUUCCCCACGCAAAUUUAGGCAAUGCACUUACCUUGAAUCAGGCUCAAUCAAUCGGUUACAAUGCCUUCUCCACAAAUAUUCGAUUAUGAAUGGUCCAAAUCUAGCCAAAAGCAAAUACAUAUCAUAAAUACAACUAUAAUAGACUAAUCUAAUUAAUGAAAUCAAGAUUUUAAUAAGAAAUUCUAAAAUGCCCUAUAAAGUCGACCAAGGCCCACGUCUUGGAAUCGAGUAAAAAUCACAAAAUAUGAAUAUCCAUUCUUCCACUAGUUCACUCGUACCAAAAUUAUCCAAAUCCGAUAUAAAAUCUCAAUCAAAACUCAAAAUCUUAGUUGAAGAAAUCUUCCAAUUUUUCUAAAAUUUCAACCCAAAUUCAAAAUUAAAAGAUAGAAUUAAUGAUAGAUUAGUGGGAUACAAUAAAAAUCAAGUGAAGAAUCGUUACCCAAUUGAUGUAUCUGGAAAUCUCUCAAAAUCGCGUCUAAAUCCGAGCUCUCUGACUCAUGUUUUGAUAAAAAUAGUUAAGCCUUAAUUUUGAAAUGUUAUAUUCUGCCUACUUCCUUCUUCACGAACGUGGAAGGACCUUCGUGUUCGUGAAACAUAAAUUUUCUUCAGCCUAAAAAUAUUUAUCGCGAACGCGAAGCUUACUCUACUCGAACCUAUGCGAACGCGAGACCAAGAUCGCGAACGCAUAGGCAAAACGCCUGGGGACCCUAGUGGAUCAACUUCUUCUACGCGAACGCAAGACCUUCAUUACGAACACAUAGACUUAUGACUUCAGAGCUUCGCAAAUGUGGGACCAACAUCACGAACGCGAAGCAUAAAAUUCCACCUACCUCUAGUUCCUCUUCAUGAACGUGGGGCUUUCGCCGCGAAGGCGAAGAAGGAAAAUAGAACUGGAGAAUACCAAAAAUCUGCAAUUUUCCUAAGUCCAAAAAUGAUUUGUUAACCACCCGAAAUCAACCCGAGGCCCGCGGGACCUCAACCAAACAUACCUACUAGUCCUAAAACACCCUACGAACUUAUUUGAGCCCAUAAAACACCUCAAACGACAACAAAAAGACGAAUCACCCUCCAAUCCAAACUUAAUGAACUUGAAACAUUAAAUUUUUACAACCGAUGCUGAAACCUAUCAAACACGUCCGUUUGACUCCAAAAUAUGCACACAAGACAUAUUCAAUCUGACGGACUUAAUCCAACCUUCAAAAUCAGAAUUCGACCCCUAUAUCAAAAAGUCCACUUCUAGUCAAAAUCUCCAAAAUUCGACUUUCACCAUUCAAGCCUAUAUCAGCUACAUACCUCAAAUUAAUAGUCCAGACACACACCCAAGUCCAAUAUCACCCAAUAAAGCUAACAGAACCAAUAAAACUCCAUUCCGGAAUUGUCUUCACACAGUUCCGACUAUUGAAAAAAUCCUAUAACUUAAGCUUCCGUUUUAGGGACAAAGUAUCCCAAAACACUCCAAAAC